AUUGAACGCUGGCGGCAGGCCUAACACAUGCAAGUCGAGCGGAUGAGAGGAGCUUGCUUCUUGAUUCAGCGGCGGACGGGUGAGUAAUGCCUAGGAAUCUGCCUGGUAGUGGGGGACAACGUUUCGAAAGGAACGCUAAUACCGCAUACGUCCUACGGGAGAAAGCAGGGGACCUUCGGGCCUUGCGCUAUCAGAUGAGCCUAGGUCGGAUUAGCUAGUUGGUGAGGUAAUGGCUCACCAAGGCGACGAUCCGUAACUGGUCUGAGAGGAUGAUCAGUCACACUGGAACUGAGACACGGUCCAGACUCCUACGGGAGGCAGCAGUGGGGAAUAUUGGACAAUGGGCGAAAGCCUGAUCCAGCCAUGCCGCGUGUGUGAAGAAGGUCUUCGGAUUGUAAAGCACUUUAAGUUGGGAGGAAGGGUUGUGUGUUAAUAGUACACAGCGUUGACGUUACCUACAGAAGAAGCACCGGCUAACUCUGUGCCAGCCGCCGCUGUAACAC
rnacentral:rRNA from 1 species